rnacentral:rRNA from 1 species
GAUGAACGCUAGCUACAGGCUUAACACAUGCAAGUCGAGGGGAAACGACAUCGAAAGCUUGCUUUUGAUGGGCGUCGACCGGCGCACGGGUGAGUGACGCGUAUCCAACCUGCCCAUCACUUGGGAAUAACCUUGCGAAAGUAAGACUAAUACCCAAUGAUAUCCCACGAAGGCAUCGGAAUGGGAUUAAAGAUUUAUCGGUGAUGGAUGGGGAUGCGUCUGAAUAGCUUGUUGGCGGGGUAACGGCCCACCAAGGCAACGAUCAGUAGGGGUUCUGAGAGGAAGGUCCCCCACAUUGGAACUGAGACACGGUCCAAACUCCUACGGGAGGCAGCAGUGAGGAAUAUUGGUCAAUGGGCGAGAGCCUGAACCAGCCAAGUAGCGUGCAGGAAGACGGCCCUAUGGGUUGUAAACUGCUUUUAUAAGGGAAUAAAGUGGGUCACGUGUGACUUUUUGCAUGUACCUUAUGAAUAAGGACCGGCUAAUUCCGUG